GCCUCGAUAGCUCAGUCGGUAGAGCAUCAGACUUUUAAUCUGAAGGAGUUCUCCAGAGUUCAAGUCCCUGUUUGGCCG
rnacentral:tRNA from 1 species